GUUCCUGGCGGAAAACAUAGUCUCUUCCUUCCUACACAUCUAAGAACCAUGUUUCCUGGGGAGACCUGUAGGGACCCGUGUGUUCCAGAAAGACCUAAGAUCCAUCCCUUCAGCUAGUAGACACUUUUUUCAUGUGCCCCUUGGAUCCAGUUUGAAUGAGGAGCUCAUCGUGACUUGUGGACUUAAAAGGGGACGGAUGGACGGCAUAGAGGGAAAUGGCUACCAGUGAAAUCAGAGGACAAUGUGUCUCAGCAUUUUAAAACUUCGGUUACGUCUGUGCUACUGAAGGAAAGAAUGCAUCUCCAAUCAACGUAAUGAGUCAAUCCCCAAGGUAACUUCCUCGGGGUCCUUGAUGGUGUAGACAUCAUUGUGGAAAGAGAACCGGACGCUCUUCUCGGGUCCUCGUGGAGGGGACGGCGUGGGUGGGGGCGUCUCCACAUCCUCGAGGAGACACUCCGCACAGAUUUCUGUGAGACGCACAGAAAUAGAGAGCAGUGUCAGUACCUUGUCGUCAGGAGCCCAUAGGGGGAUUGGACGUCCUUUCCUUCUAGUCCAUCCGUCUCCUGCCCCUCCUCGCCAGCUGCCCAGCAGGCAUUCCUCCCUCCAGGUGGGACUUAGGAAGAGGUCACCGUGUGCUGUGCUCUGAAUUCCGCCCCCUCCCACACCCACAGGUGCCGUGGGCAACGGCUUGUAUGGAGCAGGGACAGGACAGAAAC